UAACACGUGGGUAACCUGCCCAAGAGACUGGGAUAACACCUGGAAACAGAUGCUAAUACCGGAUAACAACACUAGACGCAUGUCUAGAGUUUAAAAGAUGGUUCUGCUAUCACUCUUGGAUGGACCUGCGGUGCAUUAGCUAGUUGGUAAGGUAACGGCUUACCAAGCCGACGAUCAGUAGCCGACCUGAGAGGGUGACCGGCCACAUUGGGACUGAGACACGGCCCAA
rnacentral:rRNA from 1 species